rnacentral:lncRNA from 1 species
AAACCAGAAUCCUUUGUGAGGACCUCAAAUCAUGACAGAAGCAUCAUUACAUGAAAAUCUAGACAGUUGGGAGCAGUGACAGGACUAGCCUGGGGAGAGAAGAGAUGAAACAGAAAUCCACUGAGGACUAGCAAAACUUGGGGAGAAGUCCAACCUCAAAUCCUGUGCCCCAUCCGCUCUGCCUCGCAAUCAUCGUUCAGAACAGAAGAUGCACAGCGUUCACUCAUGGGACAGCUGUACCCAGGCGACAUUGCAUGACACCCCAGCGUGUCUCAAAUGAUCUCUAGAGAUAUUAAGAAAUCCUCAAGUUGUCCUCAAAUAAUUUAAAAAAAGAGAGAGAGAAAAAAAUCACCUCACUUGGGUUUCAGAAUGAGCAUGUACCCUGUACGAACGUGACUAUUUGGUCAAGUGAUAAGGCUAGUGAACAUAGAAAAAAUGGGGGUGUCCAAAGUCCCGAAGAUUGGAAGUCCUUUUAGUGCAUGACUCUUAAUGGCUUUCCUGAUUUGUCAUUGUAAAGAUUCCCACACUCUUCAACCUGGGGCACCUGGAUGGCUUGGUCGGUUAAGUGUCUGCCUUUGGCUCAGUCAUGAUUCUGGAGUCCUGCACUCGAGCCCCUCAUCAGGCCCCCUCUGUACUCCCCCCCAUCUCAUGCUCUCUCUCAUGUGUUCUCGCUCUCUCUCAA